rnacentral:tRNA from 1 species
GGAAUAGCUCAGCGGUAGAGCACAUGCUUAGCAUGCAUGAGGUUCUGGGUUCAAUCCCCAGUACCUCCA